CCUACGUGGUGCCGCAGUGAGGAAUAUUGGUCAAUGGCCGGAAGGCUGAACCAGCCAUGCCGCGUGAAGGUCAGUGCCCUAUGGGCGGUAAACUUCUUUUGUGUGGGAGCAAUAAUGGUCACGUGUGGCCAGACGAGAGUACCGUACGAAUAAGCAUCGGCUAACUCCGGGCCAGCAGCCGCGGGAAUACGGGGGAUGCAAGCGUUAGCCGGAUUUAUUGUGGUUAAAGGGUGCGAAGGCGGGUUUUUAAGUCAGCGGUCAAAACGUGGGGCUCAACCCCAUCCAGCCGUUGAAACGGGGGAUCUAGAGUGUGCGAGAGGUAUGCGGAAUGCGUGGUGUAGCGGUGAAAUGCAUAGAUAUCACGCAGAACCCCGAUUGCGAAGGCAGCAUACCGGUGCACAACUGACGCUCAGGCACGAAAGCGUGGGUAUCGAACAGGAUUAGAUACCCCAGUAGUC
rnacentral:rRNA from 1 species